UGCUGAUGCUGUUUCUCUCGCCAUCACAGAGCUCCCCUGAAGGGACAGACAGGGAAUGGCUACCUUAAGGAGCAAAAUACUUCCUGCAACAUUCACAGUCACUGGAAGAUGAUUCCUGAUACUACUAAACAGAGCAGCUCCAGAUACGGGUUUGGAUUAUGACAUUUAUCAACCUCCAAAGUUACUCUUUGGCAUGCAAACAGUACAAGUUAGAGACUGUUCUUAUUCAUCAGUGAAAGUCAUGUUUUAAAAGCUAAGAAAUUGUUGCAAUGUGGAUGAGAGCCAUUUCAUGACAUUCAGUCAUCAAGGAGUGGACCAAAACCUCUUUAUCUAUGCCUAAUGUAUCAAGAACAGUUCUGGAGUACCUCCACCUUGAAAACCAUGGGAUAUACCCACAAACACACUAAGCUGCUUUUUCUGCUGAGACUAAAGGCUCUUUGGAACUGGAAUUGCUUCUUUCUUCAGGUUUCCACAGUGUCAUCUGGUAAGACUUUAAUCUGGCCUGAAUUCUCCGAAUUCUGGUGUAAUACGUGAAUACUUCAUCAUGGAACUCAUUCUGUCCAGAAUAUCAGUGUCCAGACUAUUUUGAGCAUCUGAAUAUAAUUGGUAAGCUUUGGGUAUCUAUUCCAUGAAUAGACCUAUUUCAUCCAAUAAAAACAGGUGCAAAAUUUUACUUUCAAGGUCAAACCAAAAACUUUUGGAACACAUCCCAGAAGAAAACUGCCAGAGGUUACCAGGAAUUUCAUGUUCAUAUGGUUUCACAGGUCUUUCCAGUGGUCAGAGCCCUUCACUACUGUUUGUAAGACAGAACAAAACUUAUCCCAAAGGAAAAAGAUCAUUUCAGGCCUGAAUAGAUUUAACAGAGAGGCUACAAGAUCUCCAAGGAUUACCACAGAUUACCUCUAGUUUUAUGAAGACAUGGAGAGACAGACAGAGGCCCUGAGAAUGUCUUGGAGCAAAUGAAUCUUUUUGUUAUAUAAUUCAAUUUCCUUGUGCAAUUCUUGAAUUGUCUCCCAAACACUUCUGAACAACACAAGAAAAGGAUUUUCAUACACAAAUGUGAAUUUUCUGUCCAGUGAUGAGCAGUACUCUUUAGUACCCCAGCCUCUUCAUUCUUGAUCUCCUGCUACAUCCAUGAAUCCUAACCCCAUGCUGCUUCUUCCUUCCUCCGAUCUCAUAGAAAGAGAUUUUUUUAACAGUAGAAACUCCUGCUUUCAGCUGGAAAAGUGGCAACA